rnacentral:misc_RNA from 1 species
AAGUCGUAACAAGGUUUCCGUAGGUGAACCUGCGGAAGGAUCAUUGACAAAAUCAAAUAUAUAUCAACCUUUGUGAAAUGAUAAAGUAGUUUUGGAAAAUCCAUUAAUUUUCUUUUUGGAUUUUUUCUCAAGGCUUUAUUUUAAAGUUUAUAUAAAUUUUAUUUUAUAAACGUAAUACCUUUUUUAUAUUUAAAGAUUUUAAUAAUUAAAAAAAAUUAAUUUUUAAAAACAACUUUUAACAAUGGAUCUCUUGGCUUCU